ensembl:snoRNA Gm23529 small nucleolar RNA SNORA17
CCUGCUCCUAGAAGCAUUACAGAUGAGGCUGCUGUGUCACAUGUGCAUCACUAGGUGGCAGAGAGGAGAGAGGCUACAGUUAUGCUCAGUGUUCUGACCUGUGACCAUCUAAGUGAUUAGUAGCCUAACACU